UAUAAAUGUUACAUAAUUUUUGUUUACUUUAUAGGUGGAGGAUUACCAGUUGGUACAAUAUGUUUAAUAGAAGAGGAUAAACAUGAUAUUGCUUCAAAAACUAUCAUGAAGUACUUCUUAUCGGAAGCAGUAAUCCAAAAUCACAAAAUAUUUUUAUCUAGUGGGGGCAGAACAACAUCAAAAAAGCUACUAAAAGAAUUACCAGCUGCUAAAACUAUUGAAGUGAAACAUCAAAGCAAUGAUAAAAAGUUUGCUCCUGAUGAAGUGAUGAAAAUUGCAAUUCAAUAUCAAAACCAACCUCCUGUCCAAGAUG